rnacentral:rRNA from 1 species
CCACCGGUAUUGCCUCAGUACGGCGAGUGAGCGGCAAAAGCUCAAAUUUUAAAGCUGGCAUCUUCGGUGUCCGCGUUGUAAUUUUGUGAGGCAUCUCCGGGUAGGGCGCCGGCCUAAGUUCCUUGGAACAGGACGUCAUAGAGGGUGAGAAUCCCGUGCUUGGCUGGCUGUCCCCGUCCAUGUGAGGUGUCUUCGACGAGUCGAGUUGUUUGGGAAUGCAGCUCAAAAUGGGUGGUAAAUUUCAUCUAAAGCUAAAUAUUGGUGGGAGACCGAUAGCGCACAAGUAGAGUGAUCGAAAGAUGAAAAGCACUUUGAAAAUAGAGUUAAAAAGUACGUGAAAUUGUUGAAAGGGAAGCGCUUGAGACCAGACUUCGGUAGGGGGUGAUCAGCUGUCCUUCUGGGCGGUGCACUUGCUCCCCUCCGGGCCAGCAUCGGUUGGGGCGGCGGGAUAAAGAUCACGGGAAUGUGGCUCCUUUCGGGGAGUGUUAUAGCCCGGGUGAAUGCCGCCAGCUCCGACCGAGGACCGCGCCUUCGGGCUAGGAUGCUUGGCAUAAUGGUCUUCAGCGACCCGUCUUGAAAAACAAAACCAAAAAA